rnacentral:lncRNA from 1 species
CUCUUGAUGAUUCUGAUGUUGGCUUUGUCAAAUAAUGUCUUGAAUUUGUUGUUCCUGCAUAAACAAGCUAAGAGUACAAGUGGAACUAGUUAUGGAUAAAAUAUGUUCAUGUCAUGUCAUUUCCCCUUGCAACCGAGGCAUGUUGACGGUGUUUUGUAUGUGGAUUUCUAUGGUAUAUCCACCGUCAACAGUUGAGCUGCUGUUUAUCUGUUCCUAGAGAUGCUAGAAUUCUGGAGAAUUUUAUCUUUAAAAAUCUUUAAAAUGUUGCAUGAUGAGUUCCUGUAUGAUGAGAGUUUAAAAUUCCUACCACAACCAUAUAUACAUGGUUGCUAGACUUUGAGCCACACAUUUAAUAUUUACUGCUUAUGAGCAUUGAGUGUGGUCAAGCUGUGUAGACCCUUAGAAACUUGUCAUGUGGUUAAAUCAAGAUUUCACUUGCACGUUUACUCAUAUAUGCUACUUCUACUCCGGAAGUACCAUCCACAUAUAUCCAUCCAUUUCCAUCUCCAGAACCACCUAAAAAUAUUCUACUCCUAAUCCGGGAGAGAAUAACCAAAAAUAUUUCUGUUUUCCCCUUGUGAAAUAAAUGCACAAGUUAUCUUGUUACUACCACUUGCUAUAUUAUCUCAAGAGAUGAAUGCUCUGAAAAAAAGAGAGAAAGAGAAAAAGAUACGAGGAAAUAAAAAGGAGCAAGUGCUCGGAACCUCGAAAGAAAAGAAAAAAGUGAGAUGAGAGGUAAAAAUGGACAAGUGUCCGACAGUAGAAUUAGGGGUACAAGAUACCCACCUGAGAGAAAAAAAAAUAGAAGAGCAUCUCAUUCUCCUCACAAAGUUUCAAAAAGCAAGGAAGGUAUGUAUCCCCUCAAAAGAGCAAAGUAGAAUUAGACUUCCACCGCCAUUGUUUUCACCAUUGGUAUCACCAUCAUCACCAUACACCAUUCAUUCGCCACACAUGCACAUCUUGAUUUGGCUUAAUGAUUUGUUUCUUUGGAUCCAUGGUUUGACUAUGCAAUACAUGUCUUGUAAGUAUGCAUACUUUAUCUCCCACCUAUGAGCUCCAGAUAUUAAAGCCUUAUUAGAGUAGGGUGAGAGAGAAGGCAAUAUCACUAUGCCUCAUACCACAAAUACCACAUAUCUUGAGAGAAGGCAUAUACCAUCACUGCCUUGGUAAGGAUCCAGAAAUACCACAAAAGAGAGACCUGAGAGAAUCAUACAAGGAAUCUCUGAGUUUUAUUUGAAAAGCUGCAAAAACCCCAGAGCUAUAGCUGAUCAAGAAUAAGAGACAUGGCACUUGACUAGACUGUUCUAUCUUUUAACCACUCAAGACAGAAGUGACGGUUACAAGUCCCAUGGUGUAGGUAAAGUAAGAAAGUUUUAAGUCUUGACAGUUUACUCUAACUCAGAGAUGAGAUCUUAUUUAAAAGCAUGUGUACCAUCAAUUUUUAAAGAUAUUGCAACAACUUAUGAUCCAUAACUGAGUCUAUCCUUGCUCAGGGACGAGCUAGAGGUAAGCUUGGGGGAGUUUGUUGACGGUCCUUAAGUAUCAAAUUUAAUUAUCAAAUAAAUAAAGAAAAGGAUCCAAAUGAAAUCAACAUCCAGACUUAGGGUUUUAUGUGACAGAAUUCCACGAGUUUUGGUGUUUGUCUAUUUCUGCAGGGGGUUAUCAGGAAAUAUGGAAGAAAGGCCCACAUGUCAGGAUUACGUAAAGAUAUU